GACGAACGCUGGCGGCGUGCUUAACACAUGCAAGUCGAACGGAAAGGCCUCAGCUUGCUGGGGUACUCGAGUGGCGAACGGGUGAGUAACACGUGGGUGAUCUGCCUUGCACUCUGGGAUAAGCUUGGGAAACUGGGUCUAAUACCGGAUAUGAACUGCCUUUAGUGUGGUGGUUGGAAAGUUUUUUCGGUGCAAGAUGAGCUCGCGGCCUAUCAGCUUGUUGGUGGGGUAAUGGCCUACCAAGGCGUCGACGGGUAGCCGGCCUGAGGGGGUGUACGGCCACAUUGGGACUGAGAUACGGCCCAGACUCCUACGGGAGGCAGCAGUGGGGAAUAUUGCACAAUGGGCGGAAGCCUGAUGCAGCGACGCCGCGUGGGGGAUGACGGCCUUCGGGUUGGAAACUCCUUUCGACAGGGACGAAGCUUUUUGUGACGGUACCUGUAUAAGAAGCACCGGCUAACUACGUG
rnacentral:rRNA from 1 species